rnacentral:rRNA from 1 species
AUUGAACGCUGGCGGCAUGCCUUACACAUGCAAGUCGAACGGUAACGGGCCUUCGGGUGCCGACGAGUGGCGAACGGGUGAGUAAUGUAUCGGAACGUACCUUUCAGUGGGGGAUAACGUAGCGAAAGUUACGCUAAUACCGCAUAUUCUGUGAGCAGGAAAGCAGGGGAUCGCAAGGCCUUGCGCUGCUUGAGCGGCCGAUAUCAGAUUAGCUAGUUGGUGAGGUAAAGGCUCACCAAGGCGACGAUCUGUAGCGGGUCUGAGAGGAUGAUCCGCCACACUGGAACUGAGACACGGUCCAGACUCCUACGGGAGGCAGCAGUGGGGAAUUUUGGACAAUGGGGGCAACCCUGAUCCAGCCAUGCCGCGUGAGUGAAGAAGGCCUUCGGGUUGUAAAGCUCUUUCGGCCGGGAAGAAAUCGUAUGGGUUAAUACCCUGUGCGGAUGACGGUACCGGCAUAAGAAGCACCGGCUAACUACGUGCCAGCCGCCGCAGUAAAAC